rnacentral:rRNA from 1 species
AUGGCAAUUCUGCUUAAAACAGAGUCAGCCGGGUUAGUUCCAUUCAAAUCAGGCAAAUUAGAGUCCAAAACAAGGGCAAAAGAGUUUGGAAAAGUAGAUACGAUGGAGACGUAUCAGCCCGUACCGCUCAUGAAGCGGCAGGGGGUGGCCGAUAUUUUCCAUGCUAGAUGUGUUAUUCUCAAGAUGAGUGUUUAUUUACUUGUCAUUGCACGAGAGUAUGGUGGUAAUAGGGAUGCCGAGUCCCAAAAUGAAAAAGAAAUUUACUUUGUGUUGUCAAAUAAUAAAUUCCUUAGAAAAUGUUAG